GCCGGCUUAGCUCAGCGGUAGAGCAGCGGUUUUGUAAACCGAAGGUCGGGGGUUCAAUCCCCUCAGCCGGCACCA
rnacentral:tRNA from 185 species